AGUUGGAUGCCCAUAAUGUUAUUUUCAACCAUAAGACCCACUUCACGGUGCACAAACUUCAUAUCCAGUUUGGGUAACACGAAGCUAAGCUUUUCCGGGAAAAUUGAUGCAUAUUUCAUAAUAGCCAAAUUAACUGGGGGUUUCACUGGCUUAUCAGCAGUACCAGAUUCAUUGACUGCCUUUAUAGCUACGUCUGUAGAAGAAAAGGCAUCUUCACCUUUCCUUUUAAGUAACAGCUCCUCAUUCAAAUUAAUGGACACAUCGCCAGUGCCAAUCUCCACAUUCCUAACAACCACUCCUGCUUCCCUAUCAUGGCCAAAACCACACAUGAGAGAAAAUUCUUCACAACUGAAAGGAGCAGAGAUCCGUUCCGUCAUGG
rnacentral:misc_RNA from 1 species